UCGUUCCCUCUGUUUCUAGCCCGGAUCGGAUCCCCACCUCCGACCUUCUGGCUCCAAUCCACGCGAGGCGACGGCGUGCGGCUGGCGACGCGAGGACGCGAGGAGACGGCGCGGCCGGCGACGCGAGGACACGGCACGGCUGCUCACCGACGUCGACGGCGACGGCGACCUCCGCUACCUUCUUGCCGGCAAAGAAGCCCUGGCAAUGUUUGAGAAGGCAUGCCAUUGCUUCGAUGAUCACAAUGUGUGGACAGGUUCAGUGAUGUUCUGAUGGCAUCAUGGUGAUAUGGUUAUAAUGGUUGUGAUCUUCAAAAGAACUUACGCAACUUAAUUUUUGAAGUGAUCAAAACAAGGUUAUAAUGGUUUUUGAAAAGACCAGGUUAUGUCUAUCAGCUUGUGAUAUGUUGUGGUGUCCUUUCUUUCUUUUUGCAAUCAUCCGGAUCAUCAUACAGAUGAAGGGCUUCCACAUUUAUUCAGCAUUUAUAAAUGAACAGAAAGCUUAUGACAUGCUGAAUGGCUUGUGAUACGUUGAAUUUUUCUGUACAACAAGUUUUCUUUUUGUAAUCAGCUUAUGAUAUGUUGAAUGACUUCAUUCCAGCUCAAACCAAAUGCACUUUUUUAAAGAGGUGGAUUAACAAAAGAAGUGGAUUCAAUCCAUAGGUGGUUUCAAUCCAUGGUGAAAUCACCUAGAUCCAUUCAAACCUGGCUAAGAACUGUUCCAGCUUGGAUCGAAACUUAGCUAAACCGAACGAGGCCUAACUAGCAUUUGCGUGAAUAUUAUCAGAAAUCAGAACUGCUUUUCUCUGCAAGUCAACAAAUCCUCCUGUCUAGUGGCCUAUGGUGACUCGGUGAGCUAGCAAGCGCCAAGCAUGCUGAAUUGCAGUGAAGGAAUUCAACCAAAACUAAGAUCCGUCGCUGCUACAAGGAGGCAACAUCGUUGAACUCUCGGCGCCCUUGGCGCCGCCAGCAUUCUACAUCGGCCCGCCACCAUCACCGUCCAUGUCCUACACUCCUACUUCGCCGGUCGCCGCGACCGUCCUGCUUCACCGGUCACCGCCAGGCGCCAGCCCACCACUAUCUUGCUCUCCUGCGACGCAAACGGCCGACCACGGCAAGCUGAUGGCGGCACGUACAUUCGUUGAUUUCUGUGAUUUAUGUUUGGCUUCUAUGUGUCUCACUCUUGCCUACUGUACUCCUCAUCAGAUCUGAAUGAAUAAACACGAAACAGAUGUUAAUUUGCCUGGGCUUUGACCUAUAUGAACUGAUUACGCGAUGCACUUGCUUUUUCUAGAUGUCUUGCUG